CUGAUUUGUCAUAUGUCUGUAUUAUUUUAAAAGUGGAAUAAAAUAUGCAAUUUUACAGAUUAUUUUUAAUGAUAUUAAAUAUUUAACGAUCAGUAUCGAUAGCACUCACAGAACCCACCCAGAGUUAACCUUAAAUGUCAUUCUAAGCAGAGUAACGAAAUGCCAACUCACCGUUCGCUCGCCGGUUUUCUUCAGAAAAUAAUCUUGAACGCUAGACAUAAUGUCUAGGCUACUUAUAUCGACAAUCUCUAAAUGUCCCUCCUUAAACUUGUAUCCUUUCAGAAUCGCCUUUGCCCUCACACAGAAGGGGCAGGAAGGCUUCUCAAACAUUGUUACUUUAGAAGCUUUAAGUUUACUUUGGACGAAUUUCUCGGCCAUUUCUUUUAACUUCUUUGUCCCUUACGAGAGGAAUUACGAAAGAGCGAAGGGUUUUAUAAGUGUGGCUCACACAGCUCUGUGUAACUGAGCCGGAUAGAGGGAAGGACAUCUAAAGCUUGUGGGUGGAACAUGGCUCCAGUAACGUAUGCAGUUUGUUAACACUAUCCUCUCUUUACUGUGUCAG